GGGGUUGUGGCUCAAUGGUAAAGUACUCGCCUAGCAUGCGUGAGGCCCUGGGUUCGAGCCUCAGCACCA
rnacentral:tRNA from 1 species